rnacentral:ncRNA from 1 species
UAAUUAACGAAGGUAAUUAAAAGAUUAAUCUUUUUAAUAAAAUUUCACUCAUAAUUUUUUAUGAAAAAUACACAGGUUAGUUUUACCCUACUGAUGACUGGUCGUUGCGCUAGUAAUCCUGCUCAGUACGAGAGGAACCGCAGGUUUGGACACUUGGUACAUGUGCCUGGUCGAGUGACCAGUGGUGCGUGGGAUUAUGACUGAACGCCUCUAAGUCAGAAUCCCACCUAAUCACUGCAACGAUACCGUUUGUGCCAUGCGCGUCGGUGGGCUACUUUAGCUGGAGCGUACAUCUGUCCCGUACGGGUCAGACUACUCCGGCGACAAGGCCUAUUCGACUCGGAGCAAUCAAGGGGCCGCUGAGACUAUGUGGUCCCCGCUUCGAAAUCCAUACCGUGCAGGCGCCAAAUCGUCUGUAGACGACUUAGGUACUGGUCUGGGUGUUGUAAGUAGUAGAGCAGCCACCAUACUGCGAUCUAUUGAGACUCGUCCUCUGACUGGAAGAUAC